GACGUAGGGCGCGAGCGUUGUCCGGAUUUAUUGGGCGUAAAGAGCUCGUAGGCGGCUUGUUGCGUCGUCCGUGAAAACCUGGGGCUCAACUCCAGGCUUGCGGUCGAUACGGGCAGGCUAGAGUUCGGUAGGGGAGACUGGAAUUCCUGGUGUAGCGGUGAAAUGCGCAGAUAUCAGGAGGAACACCGGUGGCGAAGGCGGCAUCCUGGACCGGCAUUGACGCUGAGGCGCGAAAGCUAGGGGAGCAAACGGG
rnacentral:rRNA from 1 species